rnacentral:rRNA from 1 species
GGUUGCGAUCAUACCAGCACUAAUGCACCGGAUCCCAUCAGAACUCCGCAGUUAAGCGUGCUUGGGCGAGAGUAGAACUAGGAUGGGUGACCCCCUGGGAAGUCCUCGUGUUGCAACCC